GGAAAAGAGUAUUAGCUCUACCUUAAUUUUUUUAUUGCACCAAACAAAACACUAGAUUUAAGAGCUAUUCAAAUAAGGCACAGCUUAUUUGAAAUGGGAUACAACCCCUAAUACUGGGUUAAUCUAGAUAUAUUAAAUAAAGUGGGCCUAAAAGCAGCCAUCUUCUAAAAAGCGUUAAAGCUUAACAUAUUAUUGUCUACAAUUCCACAAUUUUUACUUAACCCUUCAUCACUACUGAACUAUUUUAUACCCCUAUAAAAGUCAUUAUGCUAGAACUAGUAACAAGAAAUUGCCCUUCUCCAAAAUGUAUGUUUAAACCAAAAUGGACCCUCCACUGGUAGUUAACGUAAAUGUAAAAAUCAUAGUACCACACAACUAGAAAACCCUAUGACCUCCCCAACGUCAACCUUACACUAGAACAUUACAGGAAAGAUUAAAAGAGAAAGAAGGAACUCGGCAAACCACAGUCCCGCCUGUUUACCAAAAACACCGCCUCUUGCCCAAAUAUAAGAGGUCCAGCCUGCCCAGUGACAUAGUUUAACGGCCGCGGUACCCUAACCGUGCGAAGGUAGCAUAAUCACUUGUUCUUUAAAUAAGGACUCGUAUCAACGGCAUCACGAGGGCUGUACUGUCUCCUUUCUCCAAUCAGUGAAACUGAUCUCCCCGUGAAGAAGCGGGGAUUGACCUAUAAGACGAGAAGACCCCAUGGAGCUUUAAACCCAACACACACCCCUACGCACCCAAACCAAUACAGCCCAAGAGACUUGUGUGUUGGUUUUAGGUUGGGGGGACCGCGGAGUAAAAUCAAACCUCCAUGACAGACGGGCUAAUACCCUUAUCCAUGAACCACAAUUCUAAGAGCCAAUAAAUUGUUGUCUAAUGACCCAAUUACUUGAUCAACGAACCAAGUUACCCUGGGGAUAACAGCGCAAUCUACUUCAAGAGCCCCUAUCGACAAGUAGGUUUACGACCUCGAUGUUGGAUCAGGGUAUCCUAGUGGUGCAGCCGCUACUAAAGGUUCGUUUGUUCAACGAUUAAAACCCUACGUGAUCUG
rnacentral:rRNA from 1 species